rnacentral:rRNA from 1 species
GCAUGGAUAUGUUCGUUAAAGGUUUACCGCCUUGGGAUAGGCUUGCGUCUGAUUAGCUAGUUGGUGUGGUAACGGCACACCAAGGCUACGAUCAGUAACUGGUCUGAGAGGAUGAUCAGUCACACUGGAACUGAGACACGGUCCAGACUCCUACGGGAGGCAGCAGUGAGGAAUAUUGGGCAAUGCUCGAAAGAGUGACCCAGCAACGCCGGCGUGGAGGAUGAAGGUAUUCUAUAUCGUAAACUCCUGUGAGAGCAGGCGAAAGACAGAUUAUUAAUCUGGAUGGCUGUAUGCUCAGAGGAAGCCCGGCUAACUACGUG